CGUAGGGUGCGAGCGUUAAUCGGAAUUACUGGGCGUAAAGCGUGCGCAGGCGGUUUGGUAAGACAGGCGUGAAAUCCCCGGGCUUAACCUGGGAACUGCGUUUGUGACUGCCAGGCUAGAGUACGGCAGAGGGGGGUGGAAUUCCACAUGUAGCAGUGAAAUGCGUAGAGAUGUGGAGGAACACCAAUGGCGAAGGCAGCCCCCUGGGUCGAUACUGACGCUCAUGCACGAAAGCGUGGGUAGCAAACAGGAUUAGAUACCCUGGUAGUCCACGCCCUAAACGAUGUCAACUAGGUGUUGGGAGGGUAAAACCUUUUAGUACCGUAGCUAACGCGAGAAGUUGACCGCCUGGGGAGUACGGCCGCAAGGUUA
rnacentral:rRNA from 1 species